rnacentral:misc_RNA from 1 species
GCAAACUUGGUCAUUUAGAGGAAGUAAAAGUCGUAACAAGGUUUCCGUAGGUGAACCUGCGGAAGGAUCAUUAUCAAGCAUGGAAUUCCAUAUUCCACAAAGAACACCCCCUUCCGAGUUCCUGUACUUGUUGCUUCCGUGGGAUUGUUAUCCUGCCACUGGGGGUGGGCCCACGGAAGGUAUUUUCAAAACCCAAGUGUUAAAUGCAUUGUCCGUCUGAGCGUUGUAUUCAACAAUCAGUUGCAAAUGAAUAAAAACUUUCAACAACGGAUCUCUUGGUUCUCGCAUCGAUGAAGAACGCAGC